rnacentral:rRNA from 1 species
AACGAACGCUGGCGGCAUGCCUAACACAUGCAAGUCGAACGAGACCUUCGGGUCUUGUUGCGCUGGGGGGCUUAACGCCUGGGAACCUGCCCGUAGGUUCGGUAUAACUCCCCGAAGGGUGUGCUAAUACCGGAUAAUGUCUUCGGACCUAAGAUUUAUAGCUUUGGGAUGGGCCCGCGUUGGAUUCGCUAGUUGGUAGGGUAAAAGCCUAUCAAGGCGACGAUCCAUAGCUGGUAUGGGAGGAUGACCAGGAAAACUGGGACUGAGACCCGGACCAGACCCCUAGGGGAGGCAGCAGUGGGGAAUAGUGGACGAUGGGCGAAAGACUGAUCCAGCCAUGCCGCGUGAGUGAUGAAGGCGUUAGGGUUGUAAAGCUCUUUUACACGGGAUGAUAAUGACAGUACCGGGAGAAUAAGCUCCGGCUAACUACGUG